GACGUAGGGCGCGAGCGUUGUCCGGAUUUAUUGGGCGUAAAGAGCUCGUAGGCGGCUUGUCGCGUCGUUCGUGAAAACUUGGGGCUCAACCCCAAGCUUGCGGUCGAUACGGGCAGGCUAGAGUUCGGUAGGGGAGACUGGAAUUCCUGGUGUAGCGGUGAAAUGCGCAGAUAUCAGGAGGAACACCGGUGGCGAAGGCGGGUCUCUGGGCCGAUACUGACGCUGAGGAGCGAAAGCGUGGGGAGCGAACAGG
rnacentral:rRNA from 1 species